rnacentral:rRNA from 1 species
UACGGAGGGUGCAAGCGUUAUCCGGAUUCACUGGGUUUAAAGGGUGCGUAGGAGGGCAGGUAAGUCAGUGGUGAAAUCCCCGAGCUUAACUUGGGAACUGCCGUUGAUACUAUCUGUCUUGAAUAUUGUGGAGGUAAGCGGAAUAUGUCAUGUAGCGGUGAAAAUGCUUAGAUAUGACAUAGAACACCAAAUUGCGAAAGGCAGCUUACUACACAAUCAUUGACUCUGAUGCACGAAAAGCGUGGGGGAUCAAAACAGG